UAAUAAGUGUUUUAUGGCACUUUUUAAAUCCAUAUCCACCUUGUGUGCAAUGUCAGUCGAUCUUCUUCAUGGAGAUCGACCAAACAUCAACCUCUAUUUUUUAACUCUUUGUCUGGAAAAUAUUAUGAAUAAACAAUUCAAAAUA
rnacentral:misc_RNA from 1 species